UAAAUGUGUUCCAGUGAUUCUAAUAG
rnacentral:piRNA from 1 species